rnacentral:rRNA from 1 species
AACGAACGCUGGCGGCAUGCCUAACACAUGCAAGUCGAACGAGACCUUCGGGUCUAGUGGCGCACGGGUGCGUAACGCGUGGGAACCUGCCCUUAGGUUCGGAAUAACUCCCCGAAAGGGGUGCUAAUACCGGAUAAUGUCUUCGGACCAAAGAUUUAUCGCCUUUGGAUGGGCCCGCGUUGGAUUAGCUAGUUGGUAGGGUAAAAGCCUGCCAAGGCGACGAUCCAUAGCUGGUCUGAGAGGAUGAUCAGCCACACUGGGACUGAGACACGGCCCAGACUCCGACGGGAGGCAGCAGUGGGGAAUAUUGGACAAUGGGCGAAAGCCUGAUCCAGCAAUGCCGCGUGAGUGAUGAAGGCCUUAGGGUUGUAAAGCUCUUUUACCCGGGAUGAUAAUGACAGUACCGGGAGAAUAAGCGCCGGCUAACUCCGUG